AGGUCACGGAUACCUAGAUAGGGCACCAUUGGUUUGAUGAUCACGAGCGCCAAGUCCUAGUUAUACGGAGUGGCGAUUACGCGAACUGAAAUUCCCUAGAUGCGGACAACGCUAGUUUGGCCUCCUGGCCUCUAUUCUUCAUGUUUUUGUCAAAGAAGAAAGGCUAAUGUAGAGGACCGACGCUGAUGUUAGUAAUCACCCCGGCGGUGAGAGACGCCACCGUCGAUUCUGACGGUUGGCGGCGACAAGGAUAGAACGGCAGAUAGCAGACAGUAAACAAUUCCACAAUUCAAAACUAUUAUAAAAUAUCAGUUUUUACUAAUCUGUCGGCGAAACUCAUGCUGGAUUUUUAAUUAUUCCUUUAAAAACCAAUCAGAAGCUAACAAAAGAAUCCUUUUGAGGUCCAGGGAGCCAGGGACCCCAAAAAAUGUUUAAAAUUUUAUUAUACCUGCAGACGCUGUUGUGAAUAGAGAAUUGAUGAGUAAAGGAGGAAUAUUUAAACGAUAAUAUUCUAUUUUUAUAUUUUCAUGUAAUAAAAUACGUGAUGAUAAAUUGUUAUAUGAGAUGUAACAGUCCUACGUUGGGAAAUAAAUCUAAUCUAGUUGAUAAUAAGAAAAACUGAAAAAUCGUUAUUAAUCUGUUCAUAGGAAGAUAUUUAUUUACAAACGUAAUAUUUUCCGUCCAACGUGUACAUGAUAAAUUCAAGAUAACAGGCAUAAGCUGCAAUGAAUAAAUAAUACAAUCACAAUCACUAGUUCAUGUAUAAUAAUUAAUAAUCAAAUAAAUAGCCUCGUUGCAGUCGUCAAAUUGUCCCAAGGCUCAAGGUUCAUUAUUUACAAUUAUUCAAUUUAUUAAAAAAAAUAUGAAGAAAA